CAAAUCUCUGGGGGACAUCGCCGUCCACGCGUGUUGAUGGGGUCCGGGCGGAGAUUGUUGGGCCACUGGAGAGGCCCGUUCCCACCUUGCCCCGACCUUUUUUGUGCGGUGGGCCUCUGGACUUGGUGCGGCCGGGAACGCCUCUGCAGAGAGGUGCAUCUUGUCCGCGUGAGGGGCCUGUUCAGGUUUCGUCCCUGCUUAUGUGUGUUGGGCCACUGGAGCAGAGGAAUGCAUCAAGUCCGCAUGAAGGGCCUCAUCAGGCUGCAGGGUCGCUGGAGCUGGUCCAUGGUCAGGCUCCCCCACUGAAGUAUUAUUCUAGAAGGCGGAUCAGGAGCCAGCAUCAGGUGCAAGAUGAGCUUGAUCCUACAUCCGA
rnacentral:misc_RNA from 1 species